UACGUAGGGUGCGAGCGUUAAUCGGAAUUACUGGGCGUAAAGCGUGCGCAGGCGGCUAUGAAAGACAGGCGUGAAAUCCCUCGGCUUAACCGGGGAACUGCAUCUGAUACUGGAUGGCUUGAGUUCGGGAGAGGGAUGCGGAAUUCCAGGUGUAGCGGUGAAAUGCGUAGAUAUCUGGAGGAACACCGGUGGCGAAGGCGGCAUCCUGGACCGACACUGACGCUGAGGAGCGAAAGCCAGGGGAGCAAACGGG
rnacentral:rRNA from 1 species